AUGGCAGGAGACGUCAUCAGGCCGGUCCAUAACCCUGGCAGCAUCAUCCAGCGCCCAAGUCCUUCACACAAAGCAGGUGUCUAUCCAUUGAUUGCCAGGUGUGGCCGCUACUGUUGCCUUUGGACAGAGGACCCUACGGGGAUGGGGCUGAGCAGCAUGCUAGAUGGGGUUUCACCAUGUUGGCCAGGAUGGUCUCAAUCUCCUGACGUCAUAAUCCGCCCGCCUUGGCCUCCCAAAGUGCUGGUAUUACAGGCGUGAGUCACUGCGCCCGGCCUUAAUUUUUUAACAGCCUUGAAAAAAAGGUAUUUGUUAUUCGCAUCGGAUGGUACCAAAUAUUAAGCGCAUUUAAUAAAGAGGUCCUCCAAACCGACUUCGCGUGGGCA
rnacentral:lncRNA from 13 species